rnacentral:rRNA from 1 species
CGUCAAAUCAUCAUGCCCCUUAUGACCUGGGCUACACACGUGCUACAAUGGAUGGUACAAAGAGCUGCGAACCCGCGAGGGUAAGCCAAUCUCAUAAAGCCAUUCUCAGUUCGGAUUGUAGGCUGCAACUCGCCUACAUGAAGCCGGAAUCGCUAGUAAUCGCGGAUCAGCAUGCCGCGGUGAAUACGUUCCCGGGCCUU